rnacentral:rRNA from 1 species
GACGAACGCUGGCGGCGUGCUUAACACAUGCAAGUCGAGCGGUAAGGCCUUUCGGGGUACACGAGCGGGGAACGGGAGCGUAACACGUGGGUGAUCUGACCUGCACUUCGGGUUAAGCCUGGGAAACUGGGUCUAAUACCAGAUAUGACCUGCUAUCGCAUGGGGGGUGGGGGAAAGAUUUAUCGGUGCAGGAUGGGCCCGCGGCCUAUCAGCUUGUUGGUGGGGUAGUGGCCUACCAAGGCGACGACGGGUAGCCGACCUGAGAGGGUGACCGGCCACACUGGGACUGAGACACGGCCCAGACUCCUACGGGAGGCAGCAGUGGGGAAUAUUGCACAAUGGGCGAAAGCCUGAUGCAGCGACGCCGCGUGAGGGAUGACGGCCUUCGGGUUGUAAACCUCUUUCGGCAGGGACGAAGCGCAAGUGACGGUACCUGCAGAAGAAGCACCGGCUAACUACGUG